rnacentral:lncRNA from 1 species
UUAAGAGGCUAGCUAUCUGUAAUAGAAAUAUCUGUUGAAGAAGUGCACAAUCUCACCCUUAAAAAAAACAGCAUUAAUUAUUGUAGGAAUUACACCAACAGAAUAGCUGCAAAAGUGUUGUUGCUCUGUAGAAAGUAAGAUAUUCCUGUUUUUAGACAGCAGCAUAUUUCACCAUACAUUAAGUUUGCAAUAUUAAUUAAUAUAUUUGCUAAAUGUUGUCCAAAUCAUGUAAUCAAUCUGCUCCGCAAAUUAUACCAUCAAUAAUAUCAGGAAUUCUUACCUCUCUUCAGUGGCAGACAUUAUGAGAAAAUAAAAAAUAAUGAAAAGGGAAUUUCUUUACAACCAAAACAAUGGCUAUUCAAUAGAAGCGCCUAGUAGUCCUAAAGACGGUCCUAUUUUUCUGUUGCAGGGCAGCGCAGAUGGAACUGGACUGCUGUCGGACUCGCCUGUGUGCACCGUGUAAAGACAAACUGGGAUCCUGACAGCAGUUCCCUGGUGAGCAAUCCGACACAUCUCCAGAAGAUGGUGCUACAACACCUAACAGUAAAACAAGUAUAAAAUGCGGAAAUCAAAACGUAGUUACAAAAAAAGUAUAGAAAUGCGGAAAUCAAAAGGUAGUUACAAAAAAGUCUAGAAAUGCGGAAAUCAAAAGGUAGUUACAAAAAAGUCUAGAAAUGCGGAAAUCAAAACGUAGUUACAAAAAAGUUACCCAAAAACGUCGACACUGUGUUGAAGACGAGCAGCUGCUGAACCCAGCUAUCAAAAGUCUCCGUAGUGUAAAUGUAACCGACUGAGUAGGCAUAGCUAUAUAGCUCCUGUCACCCAAUGGCAGGCCUUCAAUGUGCAAAGGUGCUAGUGGAUUCAAGCUCCUCCAUGAAUGAGACAUGCUAUGAUUCCGAUGACAAAAUAACAUGGUUGGAUGCUGUUAAACAGCUCUUUGAUAACUUCGCAACUAGAAGCAUGGCGUACAAUUUUCAUCAUGUCAUUGGCUUGGUGAAGUUUGACUCAUCAGUUAAAACUCUCUACACAUUUACAGAGACUCUGGAGACCUUCAAGGAACACGUACACAAUCUGGAGGCCAGUGGAUGCACUGUGCUGUAUGAUGCCUUGAAACGUGGCAUGUCUCAACUGAAAAAAGUUGGAGAGCAGUUUCCAGACUGCAGACUUCGCAUCAUAUGUCUCACAGAUGGGAAUGAUGAUGGAUCAAUGACCGAACCAGAUGCUGUCACAACCAAACUGAUGAGCCAUAACAUUGUUGUUGAUGCCAUCGUUGUUGGAAAGGUGGACAACAACGUGCUGCGUGGAAUCAGCAAUGCAACAGGAGGGUGUUGUUUCAAACCAGAGACGAGUAAAGCUGGUCUGAAGCUUUUUGAAAUGGAAACUGUUCUGUCUUUGGAGAUGAGGAAGCUGAAGAAGAAAUUGGACAUAUCCUACAUUAGGAGCGAGGUACGAUCUAUUAAACAAAAACUAUUCAAAUAG